AAUAAACGCUGGCGGCGCGCCUAACACAUGCAAGUCGAGCGAGAAAGUUCCUUCGGGAAUGAGUACAGCGGCGGACGGUUGAGUAACACGUGAGAAUCUACCCUUUAGUGAAGGAUACCCUCGAGAAAUCGAGGUUAAUACUACAUAAGCCCCCUUGGGGGGAAAGGCGGCCUCUUUGCUGUCGCUAAAGGAUGAGCUUGCGGCCUAUCAGCUAGUUGGUGAGGUAAAGGCUCACCAAGGCAAUGACGGGUAGCCGGCCUGAGAGGGUGUUCGGCCAGAUUGGAACUGAGAUACGGUCCAGACUCCUACGGGAGGCAG
rnacentral:rRNA from 1 species